CCAGUUCUUACUCAUUUUAACUGCGUUUGUGUGUGUUAAUAAAAUGCCUUAAAAAAAUGGGCAUCUCACAGAGUAUGGGUCAGAAAAUACUUUGUCAUUUUGUUCCUAUAAGACCCAAAGGAAAAGGGGCUAGAUCUUGAAACUUUUCCAUUAUUGUAUAACUAAUCAUUACAGCUUAGGAGCACAAGUCACUAAAUCUAGCUAUAAACAAAUUGCCUCAGUACAAGGAUCUUUCUUUGCAAACAUGGGCAGCAGUCAGCCUAUAUUCAAUAGAAGGGCAAAGCAGGAUGAGGAAGGAUGUAUUCAGCUGGAUGUCCUUCCAGUACUUGAGGAAAGCUGUACUCAGGAACCUGUUCCAGGCACUGAAAAAUAUCUCCUCUGUCUAGACUGAAAGCAAAGGAAGAACAUGUAAUAAAAAU
rnacentral:lncRNA from 1 species